GGCGUCAUGGCGGCACAGUGGUUAGCACUGCUGCCUCACAGCAGGUGGUUGUGGGUACGAAUCCGGCCUGGGGCCU